GACGUUGGCAGCAAAUAAAAAGUAAAAAAAAAAAUAGUUUGUAAAGUUUUUUUAAAUCCGUUUUUUAAUGUUAAUUGUCUUCUAGCCCUAAAAGUGACUUUCAUUUCAUUCACUUGCAAAAAAAGGAAGAGUAAAGUGAGUUGGGAAGAAAAACAAGGGUGCAUAGAAGAAAAACCAGCAAGGAGGAAGCUCAAGUUUUCUUCAAUUUUUCACAUUGGAGCUACAUUGUGUUUCGAUUUGGUGCAUCAAGAGUUGGAUAGGAAGAGUUUGCAGCUCAUUUCAAGCUUGUUGUAAGAGCAAACUUCACUUUAUUAUUUGCCUCAACUUCAACUUUCACAAAACUAUCCUAAAAUGUCUACUUCGGCUUCUAGACCCCCCAUGAGAAAGGACCCUGCUUGGAAAUAUCAUGAGGAUUUUCCAGGGCAAGGAAAGGGGCAAACAAAAUGUAUGUUUUGCAAAACAAUAUUCCAUGGAGGUAUAUAUAGGCUGAAAUACCAUAUUGCUGGUGUGCGUGGACAUGAUGCCGAACCAUGCCUAAAAGCAGUCUCUGAGGCCAUACAUGAUUGUUAUGUAAUGGUUGAGGAGAUUGAAAGAAAAAAGAAACAAAAGGAGGAUCGAGCGGCCAUUGGGAGAGAGACAGUUUUAGGAAGAGGGACACAGUUAGGUUGUGUUGGAGGCCCUUCUUCGUUACCUCCAUAUCGUCCCACUUAGUUUGCUACUGCUGGUGCUUCCGUUUCUGCUUCUGCUUCUAUAAGUGGCAGUGCCACUGCCACCGCCACUUCUCAUGCUCCUACCACUAGUAGUCAUAGUGGGAAUGUUACCAUUGGACCUAGGAUUCGUAAAUCUAGGUUGGAUUCCUUCUUUGUGCCUCGCACUACUCCUGGGUCCCAACCGUUGCUUGAGGGCAUGGGUUGGAACAAGGAGGUCCAUGAUGCUGCUAAAAUGGCAAUUGGCAGGUUUUGGAGCUACAGCUGUAUUCCAUUCUUUGUAGCCAGGUCUCCUUAUUGGCAACAAAUGGUUGAUGCCAUUACCAUAUGCGGGGUGGGGUUCAAAGCCCCUAGUGAGAGUGAUUUGAGGGGACCCAUUUUGUCUCAAAUGGUGGAUGAUGUGAAAAAGGAUUUAGAUGAACAACGCCACAUAUGGAGCACUAAAGGUUGCACCAUCAUGAUUGAUGGUUGGACGGAUAGGAGAAAUAGAACUCUCCUUAAUUUUCUUGUUUCUUCCGCAGGUGAUUGAUUAAUUUUAGUUUCAUAUAGUCUUUAAUUUUUUAUUUUUUAUCUAAUGGUUUA